rnacentral:rRNA from 1 species
UACGUAUGGAGCAAGCGUUAUCCGGAUUUACUGGGUGUAAAGGGAGCGCAGGCGGCUUUGCAAGUCUGAUGUGAAAGGCCGGGGCUCAACCCCGGGACUGCAUUGGAAACUGUAAAGCUAGAGUGCCGGAGGGGUAAGCGGAAUUCCUAGUGUAGCGGUGAAAUGCGUAGAUAUUAGGAGGAACACCAGUGGCGAAGGCGGCUUACUGGACUGUAACUGACGUUGAGGCUCGAAAGCGUGGGGAGCAAACAGG